AUGAUGGCCCUGGGUGCCUCACACGCAGGCUUCCAGCGCGGCAGUGCCAGGGAGGAGAGGGGGUGAACCCCACAAGUGGGCAGCGCGUCCCUCUGUCUGCGCGGCGAUGGCCUGGCACGCGUGCAGAGGUCGGGCCCUCCAGUCCAGCGCGCUCGCGAGAGGGUGGCAAAGACAAGCGCUCUCGCCUCUCUGCAGGCACAAGACGCCUGUCCGUCACAGGGCACACAGACACACCAGAAGCCCAUCAACCCACCAUCGUGUCCUUGGAUCGCGGGAGGAAACUGGAGCACCCAGAGGAAACCCACACAACCAUGGGGAGAACAUGCAAACUCCACACAGACAAAAACUCAGGUCCUGAAUUGAACCCAGGGCCUCAGCGGUGCUCACCGCUGUGUCACCGUACAGAUCCAGCUAUCAGGAUGUACUACUUCGUAAAACCGCCAGUGAGCCGGUUGCACAUGAUCACAAAACCGCGAUUCCUGAGGGGUUCCAUCAUCAUUCAGCUGCUGUUUCCUGGUGAGGGUCAGCACAUCCCUGAACCCAUCCCAGGAGCACAGAGCACAGGGCAGGACUGCCCCCUGGAUGGGAUAAUUAAUUACAGAGUGUGGAUGCUCUGCAGAUUAGAAUGACACAAAGGAUUUAAAGAGUCCCCCCAGAAUUUAAAGACACUAAGUAACCCAGCCUGCAUAUCUUUGGGAGGUGGCAGGAAACCGGAGCACCCAGAGAACAUCCAUGUAGACCCUGAGACAACAUGCAAACUCCACACAGAGUGUUCCUCGGGCUAGAAUUAAACAGGUGCUCAUAAAAUUACGAGGUAGAGAUGCUUGGGGGAAUCCCAGCCACAGCUGGCCAGUGUCGUGAUCCGGGAGAACACCUGCAGGAUCUGGACCAGAGAAAGACAUCUGCGUCUCAUCCAGGUCUUAAUCCCUCAGAGGGAGAGCUUCAGAGGUGCUGACAGGUGCAGCUCUCAGCUCUCAGCUCUCUCCAGGCUCAUAGCACCUGACUGGCUACCAGGGGCUGCAUGUGAUCAAUCAACCUGAGAAUACCCUGGUCAAAUCUAACCCUGUCCUCAUCAUCGCCAUCCAAUGGCAGUCUAACCUGCUCUCUGAAUGUGCAGUCAUAUAGAUUGAACUACUAAGGACCCCUAGUACUGUGAUUGCCUUUAUGCCAAGCUAAUAAUGAAAUCUCCUUAGUCUUGAACAGAGAAAACUGCCAGGGGGGCUGAUUCAAAGUUGCAUCUUAAAAUUCCAUCCAGCAGACUUCUCCAGAAUGAAAAAGGAACCAAGUCCAAUCACUGUGGAGGUGCAUUUAAAUCUGAGAACGGGGGGGGGGGAGCUUUACACAAAGGGUUGUGGGGGUAUGAAACAAGCUACCCAGCCAUGUAGUUGUCGCCGAUGAUCUGGUUACUUUGAAGAGGUCCUCGGAUCCAUUAGCUCUUGAGAAACAGAGCGAGCUGUUACCCUGAGCAGGGAGCGUUCGGGGUUUACUUGACCUGCCACCAAGAGCAAUCCAGCACAGGGCUUCCAGGCGUUGGGGUUCUGUGAGUGAGGUGUGACGGCAGCCCAUUUGGAAGCACAUGGCCUUUUCCAGUAGGAGGCGUUGUGUGUGGUCAGCAAGUGUUGGCACCCCAUCACUGUAUAAACUCCUGCAGGGCUUCUCUCGCUGUGAAUAUUCCACUUCUGUAAGUCGCUUGCUGUAUACCUUAUUAGUCAGAGUGAUUGAAGGCGCUGCCUAAACUAGCUAAAUAAAAGUGAA